rfam:Brassica oleracea var. oleracea cultivar TO1000 chromosome C8, whole genome shotgun sequence
GGAAGUUAAAAAACUGUUUUUUAACUUUUAACUAAAAAAGCUAAGAACCGGUUCUUAAAUAAGGAUUUUAAGGACCGAUUCUUAGCCUUUUAAUUAAAAGUUAAGAAACAGUUUUUUAACUUCC